rnacentral:rRNA from 1 species
CCUACGAGUGGCUGCAGUGAGGAAUAUUGGUCAAUGGACGAGAGUCUGAACCAGCCAAGUAGCGUGAAGGAUGACUGCCCUACGGGUUGUAAACUUCUUUUAUAAAGGAAUAAAACGAGGCACGUGUGCCUUUUUGCAUGUACUUUAUGAAUAAGGAUCGGCUAACUCCGUGCCAGCAGCCGCGGUAAUACGGAGGAUGCGAGCGUUAUCCGGAUUUAUUGGGUUUAAAGGGAGCGUGGAUGGGUGGUUAAGUCAGUUGUGAAAGUUUGCGGCUCAACCGUAACAUUGAAGUUGAUACUGGCAGUCUUGAGUACAGUAGAGGUACGCGGAAUGCGUGGUGUAGCGGUGAAAUGCUUAGAUAUCACGAAGAACCCCGAUUGCGAAGGCAGCUUACUAGAGUGUGACUGACGUUGAUGCUCGAAAGUGUGGGUAUCAAACAGGAUUAGAUACCCUAGUAGUC